rnacentral:rRNA from 1 species
CGGGGACCCGCACAAGCGGUGGAUGAUGUGGAUUAAUUCGAUGCAACGCGAAAACCUUACCUACCCUUGACAUGUCAGGAUCCUGGAGAGAUCUGGGAGUGCUCGCAAGAGAACCUGAACACAGGUGCUGCAUGGCUGUCGUCAGCUCGUGUCGUGAGAUGUUGGGUUAAGUCCCCGCAACGAGCGCAACCCCUUGUCAUUAAUUGCCAUCAUUCAGUUGGGCACUUUAAUGAGACUGCCGGUGACAAACCGGAGGAAGGUGGGGAUGACGUCAAGUCCUCAUGGCCCUUAUGGGUAGGGCUUCACACGUCAUACAAUGGUCGGGUUCAGAGGGGUUGCCAACCCCGCGAGGGGGGAGCCAAUCUCAGAAAGCCGAUCGUAGUCCGGAUCGCAGUCUGCAACUCGACUGCGUGAAGUCGGAAUCGCUAGUAAUCGCGGAUCAGCAUGUCGCGGUGAAUACGUUCCCGGGUCUUGUACACACCGC